CCACGUCACCAUCAACAGUACAUAAGAAUUUUAGUCCAACAGGAUCGUGACACCUCAUCAGUCAAUGCCACAUCAUCGGUCAAUGCCACGUCAUCAUCCGUCUAUGUGAACAGUGUCGUGAACAGUAACGUAUACAGUACCGUACACGUGAAUAGUACCGUACAUGUGAAUAGUGUCAUUUUUCCUUUUAUGCUCCUCCUAAGGUUUUCGACCGUCCUGAGUUCAAAAGUGAUGUCCGUUUUGCCGUCUGAUCUCUCC
rnacentral:lncRNA from 1 species